CUCAGGUUGACGAGUCCCAAAUAGGAUGAAAUGCGCAUCCUGGAU
rfam:Trichobilharzia regenti genome assembly, scaffold: TRE_scaffold0002476